AAUAGUGAUUUUGGUCAAAUGUUCUUUUAGGGGGAAAAUUUGUAUUGUUCUGGACACUCUCAUUUCAACUGUCUUAUUGAGCAGUUAUAUUUCAUAAUUCUGGAGUUUGUAAAUUGGCUUGAUAUAUUUUGCUGUACUUAUUGUUGAAUCUUUGGGAAUCUAAAUUAUUACUUUACAGGUUAAUAUUUGAUGUAGCCAUACAUAUAUGAUGUACACAGUCUUGUGACCUUCAAAUUAGUACUUGGGAUUUUCAGUUUAAUAUAUGACCUAAUUGAAGACACAGACAUUAUAUGAGAACUUGUACAAAAUACUGUGGGACAUGUUAGGUGGUAAAGAAUAUUUUCCAAGCUGUCUCAUAAUGUGACUUGAUUGACAUAAAUCAUGUUGUCAAAUAUUGUAAGAAAGAACCAUUAAGGACUUUUUAACUUCCCAUACAUACAUGUGGCGAAAUUUUGAAAAAUUGAACAGGGAUGAUAAACAGCUGUUACUAAAAUAUUGAAAUAACCAAAUAAAAAAAAAUAACACAAACAAUUUACGCUCUUUUAAAAUUGUCAUGGUGACAAACACUACAAGUUUAAAUUAUGUCAUUAGGCUGUUAACAUUUUUUUUUGACAAUAUUUGGUUGUUGCAAGGAUUUUUAUAGUAAGAUAUAUCUUACUAUAUAAAAUUUUUCCUUGGUUGUUGAAUAUGGAAGUAUUUUUCCAAACAAAAAUAGACUAAAAUAAAAAGCUCCGCUGGGCGCAGCUUGAUACGACCGCAGAGGUCGAACCCUGAACAGUUGGGGCAAGUAUGGACACAACAUUCAAGCUUGAUACAGCACUGAAUUUGGAUUGUGAUUAAAUAUUUGACACAGCAUAGGUUUCUGACACAGAAUGAAUGUGGUCUAAGAACUUAAAAUUUUUAAUUUACCUAUUCAAACCAUAUCAUUAUUAUUUGCUUUUAUAUAUAAAUCAGAAAUAACCAAUUUAAAAUGGAAAAUUUUAAAGAAAAAAAGGAAAAAAAAUCCCCCCCCCCCAAUUUUUU